rnacentral:rRNA from 1 species
UACGAAGGGGGCAAGCGUUGUUCGGAAUUACUGGGCGUAAAGGGCGCGCAGGCGGCCGAUCAAGUCAGAUGUGAAAGCCCCGGGCUCAACCUGGGAAUAGCAUUUGGGACUGGUCGGCUAGAGUUCGGGAGAGGAGAGUGGAAUUCCCAGUGUAGAGGUGAAAUUCGUAGAUAUUGGGAAGAACACCGGUGGCGAAGGCGACUCUCUGGACCGACACUGACGCUGAGGCGCGAAAGCGUGGGGAGCAAACAGG